rnacentral:rRNA from 1 species
UGCAGUCGACGGUAGCACAGAGAGCUUGCUCUCGGGUGACAGUGGCGGACGGGUGAGUAAUGUCUGGGAAACUGCCUGAUGGAGGGGGAUAACUACUGGAAACGGUAGCUAAUACCGCAUAACGUCGCAGACCGAGGGGGACUUCGGCCUCUUGCCUCAGAUGUGCCCAGAUGGGAUUAGCUAGUAGUGGGGUAACGGCUCACCUAGGCGACGAUCCCUAGCUGGUCUGAGAGGAUGACCAGCCACACUGGAACUGAACACGGUCCAGACUCCUACGGGAGGCAGCUGGGGAAUAUUGCUGGGCGCAAGCCUGAUGCAGCCAUGCCGCGUGUAUGAAGAAGGCCUUCGGUUGUAAAGUACUUUCAGCGGGGAGGAAGGGUUGUGGUUAAUAACCGCACAAUUGACGUUACCCGCAAAGAAGCACCGGCUAACUCCGUGCCAGCACCGCGGUAAUACGGAGGGUGCAAGCGUUAAUCGGAAUUACUGGGCGUAAAGCGCACGCAGGCGGUCUGUCAAGUCGGAUGUGAAAUCCCCGGGCUCAACCUGGGAACUGCAUUCGAAACUGGCAGGCUAGAGUCUUGUAGAGGGGGGUAGAAUUCCAGUGUAGCGGUGAAAUGCGUAGAGAUCUGGAGGAAUACCGGUGGCGAAGGCGGCCCCCUGGACAAAACUGACGCUCAGGUGCGAAAGCGUGGGGAGCAAACAGGAUU